GGGAACACAUGGGAUAGGCGGCAGCAUUGUAACAAGGCUGUGUGAUAUAAAGGACUUCUCUUUUUGUAUUUACUUUGUAUCACACAGCCUUGUUACAAUGCUUGUUACAAUCCCAUGUGUUCCC